rnacentral:lncRNA from 1 species
CCUGCAAAGAAAACCUGUUAUUUACCAUUCGAAAACUACUUCCUAUCAAAAAAAAUAAAAAUAAAAAUAAAAAAUUAUAAACCCAUCUAUUUAACAAUUCUAGAGUGUCUCGACCUCUUCAACAAUUAGAUUUUUUUUAUUUUAUUUAUAGUCUUUUUUUUUUUUCAUUCAACAGAAAUACUGGUAUGUUAACCCCCUCAUAACCUUGCUUUUCCCCUUCUCGUUUGAAUUAGGAGAUCACCAGGCCAAAAUUUUCACCAUUGUUUCACUCUCUUUCUUUUUUUUUUUUUCACGAAUUCCACAACAGAGACUAAUUAACAGAAAUAAAGAUACCAAUCCACACACACGAAGAAGACCAAGCAGAUGAAAAUCGAUUCACAUAAUAUGAUUUACAAGAACAAGAAAGAAAAAAAAAAAAACAGAGAAAUUCCAACCCCUGAAAGAGAUUAAAGAUUAAAUUUAGACAAUCGAAAAAAAAAAGACAAAAACCAAGCUCAUGUACACCGAUUCAGGCCGCGAAGAACCCUAACCCUAACAUCCGAACCGAUCAGCGGGUGGCUGCGGCGGCGGGGCGGGCGGAGGCGGGCGGAGGGAGGGGGCGGGGCGGGGAGGCGAAGGGGAGGCUUCUGAGCAUGAGGAAGCGCAUCCGGCGGGGGAAGGGAGCGUCGUGGAGGAGCUGCUCCAGCACCCUCGCCACCAGCGCCGUGUACUCCUGCAGCAGCUCGGCCACUAUCGCCACCAGUAUCAUCCUUCCUUCUUUCAAAACCCUAAUCCUCUUUCUCUCUUUGUCGAAGAUGGUAACAGAAAGCGAAAUUUCCUUUCCAAUACGAAGUUUGUGGCGGAAGUUAUUAGGGAUUCUUUUGGGGGCUUAUUGUUAUUUAUAGGGAUUCGAAGAAUAAAUAAGAGACAUUGAUUGAAGGGGAGGUAUAGGGUUUCGGUGGGCUCUGGGAUUGAGUGUGAGGGUCUGGAGCGGUUUGGCGGCCGCGGGAGUUUAGAAACAGGUCUAAUUGUUCGAUGGACUAGAUCCAGUGGACCACUCCAAUUAUCACUCCAAUUUACAAAAUCGUGAGCAUCUAGGAUUUCGAUUGGUCCGGUGGCCCUGGUUCAUGAAUAAUUUUUUAUGAGUCUAAAAAGGAGGGGCCACCGGUUACCGCCAAAACCGGUGAGGGUUAAAAUGCCAG